CUGGAGUGACAUUGAGGGGGAAUAGGUCUGAGAUCUGGAGUGACAUUGAGGGGGAAUAGGUCUGAGAUCUGGAGUGACAUUGAGGGGGAAUAGGUCUGAGAUCUGGAGUGACAUUGAGGGGGAAUAGGUCUGAGAUCAGGAGUGACAUUGAGGGGGAAUAGGUCUGAGAUCUGGAGUGACAUUGAGGGGGAAUAGGUCUGACAUCUGGAGUGACAUUGAGGGGGAAUAGGUCUGACAUCUGGAGUGACAUUGAGGGGGAAUAGGUCUGAGAUCUGGAGUGACAUUGAGGGGGAAUAGGUCUGAUAUCUGGAGUGACAUUGAGGGGGAAUAGGUCUGAUAUCAGGAGUGACAUUGAGGGGGAAUAGGUCUGAGAUCUGGAGUGACAUUGAGGGGGAAUAGGUCUGAGAUCUGGAGUGACAUUGAGGGGGAAUAGGUCUGAGAUCUGGAGUGACAUUGAGGGGGAAUAGGUCUGAGAUCAGGAGUGACAUUGAGGGGGGGGGGAAUAGGUCUGAGAUCAGGAGUGACAUUGAGGGGGAAUAGGUCUGAGAUCAGGAGUGACAUUGAGGGGGAAUAGGUCUGAGAUCUGGAGUGACAUUGAGGGGGAAUAGGUCUGAGAUCUGGAGUGACAUUGAGGGGGAAUAGGUCUGAUAUCAGGAGUGACAUUGAGGGGGAAUAGGUCUGAGAUCUGGAGUGACAUUGAGGGGGAAUAGGUCUGAUAUCUGGAGUGACAUUGAAGGGGAAUAGGUCUGAUAUCUGGAGUGACAUUGAGGGGGAAUAGGUCUGAUAUCAGGAGUGACAUUGAGGGGGAAUAGGUCUGAGAUCUGGAGUGACAUUGAGGGGGAAUAGGUCUGAUAUCAGGAGUGACAUUGAGGGGGAAUAGGUCUGAUAUCUGGAGUGACAUUGAGGGGGAAUAGGUCUGAUAUCAGGAGUGACAUUGAGGGGGAAUAGGUCUGAGAUCUGGAGUGACAUUGAGGGGGAAUAGGUCUGAUAUCAGGAGUGACAUUGAGGGGGAAUAGG